rnacentral:tRNA from 1 species
GGUUCAGUAGCUCAACUGGUAAGAGUGGUAGAGUGCCAUUCUGAAGAUCGCGGGUUCAAGUCUCGCCGGUAAUUG